rnacentral:rRNA from 1 species
GAUGAACGCUGGCGGCGUGCCUAAUACAUGCAAGUCGAACGAACAGAUAAGGAGCUUGCUCCUUUGACGUUAGCGGCGGACGGGUGAGUAACACGUGGAUAACCUACCUAUAAGACUGGGAUAACUUCGGGAAACCGGAGCUAAUACCGGAUAACAUAUUGAACCGCAUGGUUCAAUGGUGAAAGGCGGCUUUGCUGUCACUUAUAGAUGGAUCCGCGCCGUAUUAGCUAGUUGGUAAGGUAACGGCUUACCAAGGCAACGAUACGUAGCCGACCUGAGAGGGUGAUCGGCCACACUGGAACUGAGACACGGUCCAGACUCCUACGGGAGGCAGCAGUAGGGAAUCUUCCGCAAUGGGCGAAAGCCUGACGGAGCAACGCCGCGUGAGUGAUGAAGGUCUUCGGAUCGUAAAACUCUGUUAUCAGGGAAGAACAAAUGUGUAAGUAACUGUGCACAUCUUGACGGUACCUGAUCAGAAAGCCACGGCUAACUACGUG